rnacentral:rRNA from 2 species
AGUGGUCAAGCUAAGAAGAGUGUAUGGUGGAUGCUCUGGUGCCAAGAAGCGAUGAAGGACGUGGCAAGGCUGCGAUAUGCCUCGGUGAGCCGCCCAGUAGGCUUUGACCCGGGGAUUUCCGAAUGGGGAAACCCUUCCCGUUGGAGACGGGAAAUCCAGUUCUGAAUACAUAGGAGCUGGAAGCGAACGAGGGGAACUGAAACAUCUAAGUACCCUCAGGAAAAGAAAGAAACCUCGACUUCCUGAGUAGCGGCGAGCGAAACGGAAACAGCCCAAACCUGAGUGAUGUCAAGCCUGCAGGCGUUGUCAUUUGGGUGUUGUGGGAGUGUCUAGUUCGGACUGCAGUCCGAGCAGAAGGUUACAAAAACUUGUGUUAGUCGAAGGGUCUGGGAAGUCCCACCUAAGAUGGUGAUAGUCCAGUAGACGAAAGCACAAGUUCCUUCAGAUAUUUCCCGAGUAGCGCCAGUCCCGUGGAACCUGGCGUGAAUCUGGGGGGACCACCCCCCAAGGCUAAGUAUUCCUUGGCAUCCGGUAGCGAAUAGUAGCGUGAGUGAAUAGUGAAAAGUACCCCUGCUAGGGGAGUGAAAUAGUACCUGAAACCAUACAUUUACAAGCUGUGGAAGCCCUAUGUCUUCGGACACGGGCGACCGCGUACCUUUUGCAUAAUGGGCCGGCGAGUUACAGUUUGAUGCGAGGUUAAGUCUCUCAGGGACGUAUCCGAAGCGAAAGCGAGUCUGAACAGGGCGUUCAGUAUCAGGCUGUAGACCCGAAAGUGAGUGAUCUAUCCAUGGCCAGGUUGAAGCGGAUGUAAAAAUUCGUGGAGGACCGAACCCACUUGUGUUGAAAAACGAGGGGAUGAGCUGUGGAUAGGAGUAAAAGGCUAAUCAAACUCACAGAUAUCUGGUUCUCUCCGAAAUAGCUUUAGGGCUAGCCUCGGGUGAUAGCCGUUGGGGGUAGAGACACUGACCGGGGUCGUGGGGGCUUCCCGCCUACCCGCCCUAGCCAAACUCCGAAUACCAACGGUCGUAUCCCGGGAGUCAGACCUUGGGGGAUAAGCUCCAUGGUCGAGAGGGAAACAACCCAGACCGCCAGCUAAGGUCCCAAAUACAGACUCAGUGAUGAAGGAAGUGUUAGUGCUAAGACAGCCAGGAUGUUGGCUUAGAAGCAGCCAUCAUUUAAAAAGUGCGUAAUAGCUUACUGGUCGAGCACUUUCGCGCCGAAAAUUUUUGGGGCUAAGUCUGUAACCGAAGCUGCGGGAUGUGAAAACAUCAGUAGGAGAGCGUUCCAUACAGGAUGAAGGGAUACCGUGAGGAGUCCUGGACAGUAUGGAAGUGAGAAUGCCGGCAUGAGUAGCGAUAAAAUGAGUGAGAAUCUCAUUCGCCGAAAACCUAAGGUUUCCUGGGCAAGGCAAAUCCGCCCAGGGUUAGGCGGCUCCUAAGGCGAGGCCGAAAGGCGUAGUCGAUGGACAGCAGGUUAAUAUUCCUGCCCCAGUCACGUGGACGGACAGGGGGGACGGAGGCCGGAUGGUGAUCGCCCGGGUGAAAGUGGGCGUUUCUGGUCCGAGACAAGUCGUAGGUAAAUCCGCGACAUCAACGUCAAGGUCCCGGAUGGAGUUCUUUUUGAACGAACUCAUCGGAAGGACUUCCAAGAAAAUCCUCGGUUCGGUUGAAGCGUGAGUGACCGUACUAAAACUGACACAGGUAGGUAAGGUGAGAAUCCUAAGGCGCUCGAGAGAACCCUCGUUAAGGAACUCGGCAAAAUGACUCCGUAACUUCGGGAGAAGGAGUGCCCCCUCGGGUUAUGCUUGAGGGGGUCGCAGUGACAAGGCGGUAGCGACUGUUUACUAAAAACACAGGUCUCUGCUAAGACGGUUAAGUCGACGUAUAGAGACUGACGCGUGCUCGGUGCCGGAAGGUUAAAGGGACGGGUUAUGCUUCGGCAGAAGCUCAGAACUGAAGCCCCGGUAAACGGCGGCCCUAACUAUGAGGGUCCUAAGGUAGCGAAGUUCCUUGUCGGGUAAGUUCCGACCCGCACGAAUCGCGUAACGACUUCCGCGCUGUCUCAACGAGGGACUCGGCGAAAUUGCAGCAGUGGUGAAGAUGCCACUUACCCGCGACUAGACGGAAAGACCCCGUGAACCUUUACUACAGCCUAGUAUUGGCUUUCGGUUCAGCAUGUGUAGGAUAGGUGGGAGACGUUGAUGCAGCGACGCUAGUCGUUGUGGAGUCAUCCUUGAAAUACCACCCUUGUUGUUCUGGAAUUCUAACCUUGGCCCGUGAAACCGGGUGAGGGACAGUGCUAGGUGGGUAGUUUGACUGGGGCGGUCUCCUCCUAAAAGGUAACGGAGGAGUCCAAAGGCAUCCUCAGUGCGGUCGGUAAUCGCACGUAGAGUGUAAAGGUAUAAGGAUGCUUGACUGUGAGACUUACAAGUCGAACAGGUGUGAAAGCAGGGCUUAGUGAUCCGGCGGUCCCGUGUGGAAGGGCCGUCGCUCAACGGAUAAAAGGUACUCCGGGGAUAACAGGCUGAUCUCCCCCAAGAGUUCGUAUCGACGGGGAGGUUUGGCACCUCGAUGUCGGCUCAUCGCAUCCUGGGGCUGGAGAAGGUCCCAAGGGUUUGGCUGUUCGCCAAUUAAAGCGGUACGCGAGCUGGGUUUAGACCGUCGUGAGACAGGUCGGUCCCUAUCUGUCGUGGGUGUACGAGAUUUGAGGAGAUAUUCCCCUAGUACGAGAGGAUUGGGGAGUACGGACCUCUGGUGUUCCUGUUGUCGUGUCAACGGCAUCGCAGGGUAGCUACGUCCGGGAAGGAUAAGCGCUGAAGGCAUAUAAGCGCGAAGCCCCCUUCAAAACUAGAUCUCGCAUGAGACUCCUGGAAGACCACCAGGUUGAUAGGCCGGGUGUGUAAGCACAGCAAUGUGUUCAGCUGACCGGUACUAAUACGUCGAUCGGCUUGACCGCUAUUUCUCAUUU